ACGACUUUAUUUGGGCUUUAUUGAGGCCUAAUAUAGUGGCCCAAUAAGUUGUUAAAGGCUUUGAUCUCUCGUUCGUGCCUCAAGUCGUCCUCGACAACCAUCAAUGCAGAGCCUCAACGCAAUACUCCUCUGUUGAAUGUGAUAAUUUGCAGCCUGCUCACGUCCCUUUCAUCUUUAUGUCUUCCUGUGCGGAAUGCCGAAGCCAACUGCAAUUCCCAGAGGAGAAUGCAAAAUGCCAGGCUUGAUCCACAAGCAGGAGAAGGAGGAGGAGGGUGGAAGGCUUCUCCAAUGGCCAGGUCAAGAAAGCGAGAGAAAGAAUAGGAAAACAAGGUAGGGACAGGGAGUGGAGCUUGAGGUGGAAGAAGAAAAAAAGCCAAAGCAUUUAUGUAGGCGGACAGCGACUUGAAACAGAGACAAUAAAGAAGGGCAUUUCGGUGAAUUCACACGGACAAAUGGAAUCCAAGAGAUCGCGGAGAAACUCUUAUUAAACCUCUUGUACUUUACUUAUUUUCAUUUUGCCCCCCAGAGAUCAAAGUAUUAAUACUAUUUUACUUAAUCACUUAAUUGAGUUUCACUGUUA